rnacentral:rRNA from 1 species
CCCUUAGAUGUUCUGGGCCGCACGCGUGCUACACUGAGUGGAUCAGCGGGUCAGGUUGCGCGAAAGCGUUUCCUAAUCUUUAAAUCCGCUCGUGAUGGGGAUUGACGGUCGCAAUUUUCUGUCAUGAACGAGGAAUACCUUGUAAGCGCGGGUCAUCAUCCCGCGCUGAAUACGUCCCUGCCCUUUGUACACACCGCCCGUUGCUCCUACCGAUUGAGUGGUCCGGUGAGGCUUUGGGAUCUGAGCGGAAAGAGCGUUUCGCUGUUUCUGCUCGGAAAACUCAGUCGAACCUUAUCAUUUAGAGGAAGGAGAAGUCGUAACA